rfam:Brassica napus, WGS project CCCW01000000 data, contig: 12446
AGCAUAUAAAAACUCGUUUCUUAACUUUUAACUAAAAAGGCUAAGAACCGGUUCUUAAAUAAGAGUUUUAAAAGCCGGUUUUUAACUUUUUUAGUUAAAAGUUAAGAGACGGGUUCUUAUAUUCU